GCCAGACUCCUACGGGAGGCAGCAGUGGGGAAUAUUGCACAAUGGGGGAAACCCUGAUGCAGCGACGCCGCGUGAGUGAAGAAGUAUUUCGGUAUGUAAAGCUCUAUCAGCAGGAACGAGACAAGACGGUACCUGACUAAGAAGCCCCGGCUAACUACGUGCCAGCAGCCGCGGUAAUACGUAGGGGGCAAGCGUUAUCCGGAAUCACUGGGUGUAAAGGGAGCGUAGACGGCUGAGCAAGCCUGAAGUGAAAGGCGGGGGCCCAACCCCUGGACUGCUUUGGGAACUGUACGGCUGGAGUGCAGGAGAGGUAAGUGGAAUUCCUAGUGUAGCGGUGAAAUGCGUAGAUAUUAGGAGGAACACCAGUGGCGAAGGCGGCUUACUGGACAGUAACUGACGUUGGGGCUCGAAAGCGUGGGGAGCAAACAGGAUUAGAUACCCCGGUAC
rnacentral:rRNA from 1 species